rnacentral:rRNA from 1 species
UACAGAGGGUGCGAGCGUUGUUCGGAAUUAUUGGGCGUAAAGCGCUUGUAGGCGGCCUGUCAAGUCGCGUGUGAAAAUCCCCCUGGCUUAACCAGGGGAAGUGCGCGCGAAAACUGAAGGGCUUGAGUGCCGGAGAGGGUCGCGGAAUUCCCGGUGUAGAGGUGAAAAUUCGUAGAUAUCGGGAGGGAAACACCAGUGGCGAAGGCGGGCGA